rnacentral:rRNA from 1 species
GAUGAACGCUGCCAGAAUGCUUAACACAUGCAAGUCCACUUGAACUUCGGUUUGGGUGGCGGACGGGUGAGUAACGCGUAAAGAACUUGCCUCACAGCUAGGGACAACAUUUGGAAACGAAUGCUAAUACCUGAUAUUAUGAUUAUAUGGCAUCGUAUAAUUAUGAAAGCUAUAUGCGCUGUGAGAGAGCUUUGCGUCCCAUUAGCUAGUUGGAGAGGUAACAGCUCACCAAGGCGAUGAUGGGUAGCCGGCCUGAGAGGGUGAUCGGCCACAAGGGGACUGAGACACGGCCCUUACUCCUACGGGAGGCAGCAGUGGGGAAUAUUGGACAAUGGACCGAGAGUCUGAUCCAGCAAUUCUGUGUGCACGAUGAAGUUUUUCGGAAUGUAAAGUGCUUUCAGUUGGGAAGAAAAAAAUGACGGUACCAACAGAAGAAGUGACGGCUAAAUACGUG